rnacentral:rRNA from 1 species
ACAAUGAAGAGUUUGAUCCUGGCUCAGGAUGAACGCUAGCUACAGGCUUAACACAUGCAAGUCGAGGGGCAGCAUUUUAGUUUGCUUGCAAACUAAAGAUGGCGACCGGCGCACGGGUGAGUAACACGUAUCCAACCUGCCGAUAACUCGGGGAUAGCCUUUCGAAAGAAAGAUUAAUAUCCGAUAGUAUAUUAAAACCGCAUGGUUUUACUAUUAAAGAAUUUCGGUUAUCGAUGGGGAUGCGUUCCAUUAGUUUGUUGGCGGGGUAACGGCCCACCAAGACUACGAUGGAUAGGGGUUCUGAGAGGAAGGUCCCCCACAUUGGAACUGAGACACGGUCCAAACUCCUACGGGAGGCAGCAGUGAGGAAUAUUGGUCAAUGGACGAGAGUCUGAACCAGCCAAGUAGCGUGAAGGAUGACUGCCCUAUGGGUUGUAAACUUCUUUUAUAUGGGAAUAAAGUAUUCCACGUGUGGGAUUUUGUAUGUACCAUAUGAAUAAGGAUCGGCUAACUCCGUGCCAGCAGCCGCGGUAAUACGGAGGAUCCGAGCGUUAUCCGGAUUUAUUGGGUUUAAAGGGAGCGUAGGUGGAUUGUUAAGUCAGUUGUGAAAGUUUGCGGCUCAACCGUAAAAUUGCAGUUGAAACUGGCAGUCUUGAGUACAGUAGAGGUGGGCGGAAUUCGUGGUGUAGCGGUGAAAUGCUUAGAUAUCACGAAGAACUCCGAUUGCGAAGGCAGCUCACUAGACUGCAACUGACACUGAUGCUCGAAAGUGUGGGUAUCAAACAGGAUUAGAUACCCUGGUAGUCCACACAGUAAACGAUGAAUACUCGCUGUUUGCGAUAUACAGUAAGCGGCCAAGCGAAAGCAUUAAGUAUUCCACCUGGGGAGUACGCCGGCAACGGUGAAACUCAAAGGAAUUGACGGGGGCCCGCACAAGCGGAGGAACAUGUGGUUUAAUUCGAUGAUACGCGAGGAACCUUACCCGGGCUUAAAUUGCAUUUGAAUAAUCUGGAAACAGGUUAGCCGCAAGGCAAAUGUGAAGGUGCUGCAUGGUUGUCGUCAGCUCGUGCCGUGAGGUGUCGGCUUAAGUGCCAUAACGAGCGCAACCCUUAUCUUUAGUUACUAACAGGUCAUGCUGAGGACUCUAGAGAGACUGCCGUCGUAAGAUGUGAGGAAGGUGGGGAUGACGUCAAAUCAGCACGGCCCUUACGUCCGGGGCUACACACGUGUUACAAUGGGGGGUACAGAAGGCAGCUACCUGGCGACAGGAUGCUAAUCCCAAAAACCUCUCUCAGUUCGGAUCGAAGUCUGCAACCCGACUUCGUGAAGCUGGAUUCGCUAGUAAUCGCGCAUCAGCCAUGGCGCGGUGAAUACGUUCCCGGGCCUUGUACACACCGCCCGUCAAGCCAUGAAAGCCGGGGUACCUGAAGUACGUAACCGCAAGGAGCGUCCUAGGGUAAAACUGGUAAUUGGGGCUAAGUCGUAACAAGGUAGCCGUACCGGAAGGUGCGGCUGGAACACCUCCUUU